YAAACAGCAUCGCAURCUACAGAGAAAUCCUUUGUGAAAGGAAGAGUSAAUCRAKGUGGCAAAYUUCAUUGCUGUCGCAUUUUACAAAAUUGCCACAGCCACCCCAACCUUCAGCAACCACCACCCUGAUCAGUCAGCAGCCAUCAACAUCGAGGCAAGACCCUCCCUCAGCAAAAAGAUUAUGACUCGCUGAAGGUUCGGAUCAUGGUUAGCAUUUUUUUAGACAUAAAGUAUUUUUUAACUAAGGUAUGUAGAUUAUUUUUUUAGACAUAAUGCUAUUGCACACUUAAUAGACUAUAGUAUAGCGUAAACAUAACUUUUAUAUGCACUAGGAAACCAAAAAAUUCGUGUCACUCUCUUUAUUGCGAUACUUGCUUUAUUGCAGUGGUCUGGAACUGAACCUGCAAUAUCUCCAAGGUAUGCCUGUAAAUAUAACCUUAGUAUUUCAUGUUUCUCUUCCAUUCUCUGGUGGGUCCUGUUCAGGAACAUCUCUGCUUUCCUCUUCCUAGGGUGAACCGGGGAGAGAGGAGAGGGAAGGAUUGAGGAUCAUGCUGUGUGUUCAGUGCAUCCUUCUUUUUCCACCAGGAACUGAGAAGCAAGAUUUGAGAUUUAGUUGAUAAUCACUGAACUGAGGAGCCUGAAGCAUUAUUAGGAAAGCUUUCUUCUUUGAAGAAGGAGCUGCUGCCAGACGCUGGCCUCAUGAAGGGGAGUGUUAUGGCCCAUGGUUUUCCCUUCUUCAGCCACUCUUUCUCAGACUGCAGAAACUAAGAAAUAUAAAGUUCCAGCUCCCCUGAGACAAGGAACAUGAAACAUGGAUACAAAAGGAGAGGAUUAACCUGCCAGCACCACACUUAUCAGUUAAAAAUGGAUCGGGAUCUGAAGCUCUGUAUCCUGGGCCAUCUGAGAUUCACAUCAGUCUCUUGAAUUUAGAUGCUAUAACUGGAGAAGUUGUGGCUUCUGGUAUGUAGCUGGGUACCCAAAAUCACAUUACUUUAAAAAUAAUAAUAAUAAUAAUAAAAGCUCAUUUGACUAACCUGAGAUUUCA
ensembl:lncRNA